AGAGUUUGAUCCUGGCUCAGAUUGAACGCUGGCGGCAUGCCUUACACAUGCAAGUCGAACGGAUCUAGGGGCUUGCUCCUAGGUUAGUGGCGAACGGGUGAGUAAUGCAUCGGAACGUACCCAGUCGUGGGGGAUAACGUAGCGAAAGUUACGCUAAUACCGCAUACGUCCUGAGGGAGAAAGCAGGGGAUCGCAAGACCUUGCGCGAUUGGAGCGGCCGAUGUCGGAUUAGCUAGUUGGUGGGGUAAAGGCCUACCAAGGCAACGAUCCGUAGCUGGUCUGAGAGGAUGAUCAGCCACACUGGGACUGAGACACGGCCCAGACUCCUACGGGAGGCAGCAGUGGGGAAUUUUGGACAAUGGGCGAAAGCCUGAUCCAGCCAUGCCGCGUGAGUGAAGAAGGCCUUCGGGUUGUAAAGCUCUUUCAGACGGAAAGAAAACUUCGAGGCUAAUACCUUCGGAGGAUGACGGUACCGUAAGAAGAAGCACCGGCUAACUACGUG
rnacentral:rRNA from 1 species